rnacentral:rRNA from 1 species
CGUGUAGGCGGCCUUUUAAGUCAGGCGUGAAAUCCAUGGGCUUAACCCAUGAAUUGCGUUUGAAACUGGAGGGCUUGAGGAUCGGAGAGGGCAGUGGAAUUCCCAGUGUAGCGGUGAAAUGCGUAGAUAUUGGGAGGAACACCAGUGGCGAAGGCGACUGCCUGGACGACACCUGACGCUGAGGCGCGAAAGCUAGGGGAGCAAACGGGAUUAGAUACCCCGGUAGUCCUAGCCGUAAACGAUGGGUACUAGGUGUGGGAGGUAUCGACCCCUUCGUGCCGCAGUUAACACAAUAAGUACCCCGCCUGGGGAGUACGGCCGCAAGGUUGAA